AAUCUUUUUUUUUAAAAAAAAUAAAAUUUUCUUUUAAAAUAGUUUGUAUUGUGGUUUUAGAUUGAAAAUUUUAGACACCACAGAAAGAAUGAGAUGACCUGAAUGAUCCACAGUUGGUGCGGUGCACCAAGCAAUAAUUUAACAUUGCUUAAUUUCUCGUAUAGCCACGCUAGAGUCCGGCUACUAUAUUCUUAUGAGUGUAGGUCUUUUUGUACUUAUAAUUUUUUGAUCGUUAGAUCUAGUCUUUCGAUGAUUUCCUCCCGUUAGAUUAUACUAUUCAAUUAACCACUUACUCAACCCCAAAGGACUACUAUCAUUCUAACCGGGAAUCACUAUUAUCCCAACCGCACAUCUCUUCAUCCAACAGCCGAAGUUUUCAUCCAACAGCUGAAAACUUCUGAGUAUAAAUGUGUCUAUAUAUACUCAUAAGAGUAUAGUAGCCCUAGCCGCUUGGCUAUUUGUACAUUCUGAAAAAAGUAAUAAAUUUUACAACACAAGUUGUGUCGAUGCGUAUCAAUCACAAAAUAAUAACAGUAAAUAUUUAUCUUUUUCACACCAAUAUACUAUUAACUAUUUACUAAUUUACUAAAAAAAUAAAUUUUAAAUCGUGUCAUCACCUUAC
rnacentral:lncRNA from 1 species